rnacentral:rRNA from 1 species
CGUGAGAAUCUGCCCUCAGGAGGGGGAUAACGGCUGGAAACGGCCGCUAAUACCCCAUAUGCCGCGAGGUGAAAUGAAUUUCGCCUGAGGAUGAGCUCGCGUCUGAUUAGCUAGUUGGUGGGGUAAAGGCCUACCAAGGCUUCGAUCGGUAGCUGGUCUGAGAGGAUGAUCAGCCACACUGGGACUGAGACACGGCCCAGACUCCUACGGGAGGCAGCAGUGGGGAAUUUUCCGCAAUGGGCGAAAGCCUGACGGAGCAACGCCGCGUGAGGGAUGAAGGCCUCUGGGCUGUAAACCUCUUUUAUCAAGGAAGAAGAUCUGACGGUACUUGAUGAAUAAGCCACGGCUAAUUCCGUGCCAGCAGCCGCGGUAAUACGGGAGUGGCAAGCGUUAUCCGGAAUUAUUGGGCGUAAAGCGUCCGCAGGCGGUCUUUUAAGUCUGCUGUUAAAGCGUGGAGCUUAACUCCAUUUCGGCAGUGGAAACUGGAAGACUAGAGUGUGGUAGGGGCA